rnacentral:piRNA from 1 species
UCUUUUUAUUUAUAAUUAAAA